GGCUGGAGGCGUUGGGAAUCGAUGGGGUGGUGCUGAAGUGUCACCUGCCUGAGAUACCUUGGAGAAACGCAGGAAGUACGGUGUGGCUAUGUCCUUGACUGAAAAGCCGCGCUGCGGACGGCAGCCCUGCCCUUCCAGCUCCCAGAAGUUAGUAGGCAUCCUGUCAGGGCCGAUCUGGUCCUAGGGUGACCGGCCCGAGGGGCAGGGCGUGGCCGCCGACUCCUUGCGGGCGAUUCAAAGUCCCACUCUUGUCGCCCCGACGCGGAGAGGAAAUACAUGAAUGCUGUAGCAGGGCCUCUGCUUUCCCAUGUGAUGAGUGGCAAUUAACAGCUUUGCCAUUUUUGCGGUCACGUGGGAGCCCGGAAGAACUUGAGCUUCGUUCACACCAAGGGAACCCGAGGAUCUGGGAUGGAGACGGGGCGGGAACGCGGUCUCCCGCCUGGUGACCUUGUUCGGGGAAGUCACGUAAAAGUCGGGUGAGCCUCGGUUAUUAGCCGUACAAGAUUAGAAGACAUGACUGCCCCAAAUAGAAGACAUCUGUCAGCCUCCUUUGCAGAGUGACUUGACAUCAUGACUAAUUUUGGACCAUGGGAUGCAAUUAGAGGAGAUGUGUUUAACUUUUGAGUAUCCUUAAAAGAGCAAGUCCUUAUAAGGAGUUCAUUGCUGGCUGGAAUGCAGAUGAAGUGGCUGGAACCUGAAUGACAUCUUGGACCAUGAAGAGGUCUACAGAGAAACAAGAUAGGUGGAGCCUGGAUACCAGCUGCUUGUGGAAGUGCUGGAUAAAACAGCCCUUGGGAAGCAAGGCUGAGAAUGUAAUUCCAGGAGCUGAGGCAGCCAUCUUGCAGCUAUGAGGUGACAAGGAAAAAGACAAAAAUCAUGCUGAGGAGGGCAGAGUGGAAAAAACAGCGUGGUUUCUUGAAGAAAUUGCUGAGCACUGUACCAAGUUAGGAACAUCUAUUUGCAGAUUUGUUGCUAUGACGUGAUGCUUAAGCUUCUGUUGGGUGUCCUGUUUGUCACAACCUGGCAUGAAAGCUUGCCAAGGGCAGAUGACACAGAAAAACAACUGUAAUCCUGUCAGCUCUCCAAUAAGGACAUCGUGCCUAAUAAAAAUAAAUCAAAUUAAA